AAACAGCAGCUGGGCAUCGACGAGCAGCUGGAUGCCCUCCGCAACCAGAUACAGGUGGACACCGACGUCGAGAUCCUCACGCCGCUGGGUAAGGAGCAGCUGUACGAGCUGGCGCGCUCCGACGUCGCCCGCAUCAACUACACCGCCUUCACGCUCACGCUGGAGGACCGCAUCACGGCCGUCGAGCUGGGUCAGAUGGGUGCCGCGCUAGAGGCGG